ACACCGGCAGCUCUAGUGGUAGCUGUUUUUAUUGGGCCUAAAGCGUUCGUAGCCGGUUUGGUAAGUCACUGGUGAAAUCCUGUAGCUUAACUAUGGGGAUUGCUGGUGAUACUGUUGAACUUGAGGUCGGGAGAGGUUAGCGGUACUCACAGGGUAGAGGUGAAAUUCUGUAAUCCUGGGAGGACCACCUGUGGCGAAGGCGGCUAACUGGAACGAACCUGACGGUGAGGGACGAAAGCUAGGGGCGCGAACCGGAUUAGAUACCCGGGUAGUCCUAGCCGUAAACGAUGCGGACUUGGUGUUGGGAUGGCUUUGAGCCGCUCCGGUGCCGAAGGGAAGCUGUUAAGUCCGCCGCCUGGGAAGUACGGUCGCAAGACUGAAACUUAAAUGAAUUGGCGGGG
rnacentral:rRNA from 1 species